rnacentral:rRNA from 1 species
GACGAACGCUGGCGGCGUGCCUAAUACAUGCAAGUCGAACGCAGUGGGGACGGGUGAUUAACACGUGGCUAACCUCCCAUCAGAGGGGAUAACACUUGGAAACAGGUGCUAAACCGAUACUGAUUGAUGGACCCGCGGUGCAUUAGGCAGUUGGUGGGGUAACGGCUCACCAAGGCCACGAUGCAGAGCCGGCCUGAGAGGGUGAUCGGCCACACUGGGACUGAGACACGGCCCAGACUCCUACGGGAGGCAGCAGUAGGGAAUAUGGGGCAAUGGGCGAAAGCCUGACCGAGCAACGCCGCGUGAGUGAAGAAGGUCUUCGGGUCGUAAAGCACUGUUGUUAGAGAGGCGGUAUCUAACGAGGAAGCAACGGCUAACUACGUGCCAGCAGCCGCGGUAAUUC